rnacentral:rRNA from 1 species
UACAGAGGGUGCGAGCGUUGUCCGGAAUCACUGGGCGUAAAGGGCGCGUAGGCGGCUUGAUAAGUAGGGGGUGAAAUCUUGCGGCUCAACUGCAAGGCUGCCUCCUAAACUGUCAGGCUUGAGCACAGUAGAGGCAGGUGGAAUUCCCGGUGUAGCGGUGGAAUGCGUAGAGAUCGGGAAGAGCAUCGGUGGCGAAGGCGACUGCCUGGACCAGCACUGACACUGAGGCACGAAAGCGUGGGGAGCAAACAGG